rnacentral:rRNA from 1 species
UACGUAGGGGGCAAGCGUUGUCCGGAUUUAUUGGGCGUAAAGAGCGUGUAGGCGGCUAUACAGGUCCGCUGUGAAAACUCGAGGCUCAACCUCGAGACGUCGGUGGAAACCGUAUGGCUAGAGUCCGGAAGAGGAGAGUGGAAUUCCUGGUGUAGCGGCGAAAUGCGCAGAUAUCAGGAAGAACACCCGUGGCGAAGGCGGCUCUCUGGGACGGUACUGACGCUGAGACGCGAAAGCGUGGGGAGCGAACAGG